CAGGUGAAAUAUAAAAAUGCUCACUUUUGACCAGGCAUUGUCUUGGGACAUUCACACACACUCCUCAACUCGUCAAACGUCUGCUCAGUUGUGAUGAAGAUGGGACAACUCAAUGUUUUGGCUGUUAUGGCAGUACUCUUCUCUCUUUUCAUGGAAACUGAAGCAAAUCCGUUUAUUUACAACUAUGAAAGGCUACGAAUCGGAGGCCUGAUCUGUUCCUGCCUGUUGUUUGGUGCAGGACUCCUAGCUAUCCUUUACACGAGGUGCAACAGGAAGCAAAAGAAAGCAGAAGAUGACAACAGUGAAAUCUGAUAUGGUGCCUGUCAAACUGGUUUCGGGCCCAGAAGAAGAGCUGACAUGCAAGGGGUGGAGAGAGAGUUGGUGGUUUGGUGGGGGGUUUGGAGGAGACACACCCUUUCAGGUGAUUUAACCUGAGCGGACCUGUGCAAAGAGUAACAGUUUUUUUUGUGUGUGUGAAAAGAAAAGCAGAUAAAGAAAAUCAAGCCCUCUUAAGUCUUCAAAAUGUAUUCCUGUUGGUCAGAUCUGUACUGAUAUGCAAAUGAUGUUCAUUUUUAUUCAUGUAGAUGCUUAUCCCUGUAAACACACAAGUACUGGUACACUAUUUUACAUAUCCAUAUAUUCUGCUUUGUGUAGGCAUCACCAUAAUAUUGCAUAAAGCCAAUGAAAGAUGAGAUCAUUAGGAGCAUGUGGUGUUAAUUGCAUAAUGAACUGUAGUAAGAUUAUCCAUGUGGUCAACCAUUUCAAUAUUUACAUUUCUACACCAACAAUUUGUUAGAAACCUUAGGUGUGCACGUGUACAAUUAAAAUAAA